GCACUGAGAACACUCAGGACAUACUUCUGUUGCUGUGAAGCUGGCACAGAAGAUAAUCCACCCACUGAAGAGCAGAAUUAGCACCGGGGCUUUGGUGUUGGGUUUGUUUCCCUGAAAUAACUUCUUUCUCAGGCUUCCCAUGGCAUCACGGUGAAUCUCUGAAACGUGAAAUUUUAGGCAACAUCAGUGGUCUUUUUUUUUUUUUCUUUUCUUACAAUGGUUUCUAAGACAUAGUGCUGAACUCAUGGUCACAGUAAGGCAAUGACAACUCGGACUCCUACCCACGGCCAGCGGCUAGCUGCUGUAGGGUUCUGCUUCUGCUCGGCUAUCAUUUGCACCCUGGCUUCCAUGGCUGCUUCUCAGUGUUGACAGGGAUAGAGAGGAGAGUAAAGAGACAAGGGAUGACCGAACAGGAAGAAGAUGGGAGUCUGAGCAUGGAAGGGAAGGGACUGAAACGUGCUGCUCUGAGAGGACUUCAAAACAUGGACAACAGGAUGUCAGCUUUUUAGGAAAGUUGAGAGGAUCACACAACCUCCCACCUUUGUAUUAGUCGCUGAAGGAGAUGAGGAGGAGGAGGAGGAGUCACUUCAGCCAGUGACAGAAGACCGAAGGUUUGCCGAAAUCCCCAGAGAAUUCACAGACUGAGCCAAGUGCUAAGGAUCCUUAGAGAGUCAGGAGUGGCUGGGAAGAAAUUCGGAAUCUUUUCCUGUCCCUUGGAAGCCAUCAAAAGAGCUCGAAUAAAGAGGAAUGUGUAUGAAAGU
ensembl:antisense Gm11655 predicted gene 11655